GUCGAUGGCGAACCUUUUGAGCUCGGCGUGUCAGCAUUUUGAAAAACCCUAACUUAACUCUGGUGCCGUGUCACAUAUAGACAUUUUUUUGAUAUUUGCAGCCAUAGUAAAACAAAGACAUAUUUUUGAUAUUUAUUUUAUGUAUUUAAAUGCCAUUUAACAGAAAAAUCAACCAAAAAAAUGAGUUUGCGUGUCACCCCUGACACGCGUGUCAUAGGUUCGCCAUCACUGGAACAGCUCUAGACUCUAGAGAACCGGCCGGAGGUGGACGGUGAGGCUGGAUGAGGUGAGGGGGCCGGAGCCGGGGAGGAGCUGGGGAGCCAGUGUGUCUUCCCCAGCGACUGGCAACCCUAGGAACUGAGCUUGGGAGAUAGAAGGAGAAUGGCAAGGAUUCUUUCUAGGAAAUGGGGAGACUACAGUGGUUCUCAAGCUUCCUACUGCCGCGACCCUUUAAUACAGUUCCUCAUGUUGUGGUGACCCCCAAUUUCACUGUUACAAAUUGAACAAAAACAAUAUGUAAUUAUAUAUGUGUUUUCCGAUGGUCUUAGGUGACCCCUGUGAAAGGGUCGUUCGACCCCAAAGGGUCGCGACCCACAGGUUGAGAACCGCUAGUUUUGUGAAAAACAGGGACGUCAGGAGGAAGGUGGCUUUUGGAGGCAAAGCUGGUGCAUUUGUGUUUUUACGAGACGAGACGGCAGUGCGGGGUGGAUAGUGUCCAGGGCGCCGUGGGGAUGUGAGGGAUUGUCAGUGUUCAUAAGGAGCACUCAUGGGAAUUCUACAAAGCCAGCCGGUUUCUGGGGAACUUAGGAAUCUAACAAGAAAUAAAGUAAACUUUUUGUGCUAAAGCCUCCAAAUCAAUAGGAAAUAGUUUUCUUUUAACUCCAGGGCUUAUACCGCGGAAUGAGGUAUUGGGCGUUGAAUUGUAUCCCUCAAAAAAGAGAUGAGGAAGUCUGACUCCUCAGAAUAUGACCUCAUUUCCAAAUAGGGUCAUUGCAGAUGUAAUUAGUUAAACUUAAAAAAGAGGUCACACUGGGGUGUGUGUGUGUGGGAGGGGGGGCUGGCUAAUUCAAUAUGACUGGUGUCCUUAUAAGAAGAUCAGCCCUAACCCGUUGGGCUCAGUGGAUAUACUGUUGACCUGUGGACCGAAGGGUCCCGGGUUCGAAUUCGGUCAAGGGUACGGGCACGUAUCUGGGUUGCAGGCUCCUCCUGGGCCCAGGCCCUGGUCCGGGCUGGUGCAGGAGGCAACCCAUCGGUGUGUUUCUCUCACAUCGAUAUUUCUCUGUCUUUCCCUCUCUCUUCCCCUCUCUCUAAAAAUCAAUGGAAAAAUAUCCUCGGGUGAGAAUUAAAAAAAGAAAAAAGAAGAAGAAGAUGAGUGCCAUGUGAAGAUGGAGCCCAAAAUGGAAGUGAUGCACAUACAAACCACGGAAGGCCAAGGAUAGCCAGCACAGGCUGGGAGAGAGGCGUGGAACAGGUUCACUCUCAGAAGGAACCGACCCUGCCAACACCUGCACUUCAGACUUCCGGCCUCCAGAGCUGUGAGAGAAUAAAUUUCUGUUGUUUUAAGCCACCAGGUUUGUGGUAAUGUGUUACAGCAGCCACGGAAGGAGCCUGGUGAUGGAUGCUUUCGGAGAGAGGAAGGGGAAGGGAGAGAGAGAGAAACAUCAAAGAUGAGAGAAGCAUCGAUCAGCGGCCUCCUGCACGCCCCCGGCUGGGGUUUAAGCCUGCAACCCGAGCAUGUGCCCGUGACUGGAAUUGAACCCAGAGGAGCCCAGUGAUUUGCUUCAGUCUGUAGGCCAACGCUCUGUCCACUGAGCUAAACCAGCUAGAGCUGGGGAGCCAAUUAUUAACGAGCUUGUGGGGAAACCCUCGCUCCCUGGAGCAUUCAUUCAGAAUUGCUUUGACCAGAGGCUGGAGGUGGAAGGGAAAGAGGCAACCACUGUGCCUGAUUUACUGUAAACCAGAAUCUGGGUUCAAAAUGAAAGUCGUCAUCUUCCCCAGAAACCAGCUCCUUCUCACUUCCCUGGGUUUGUUGCCCACAUGCAUACGCCCCUGCUCCUCCCACUUCUUUUGUCAUUAUGUCUAGCUUGUCAUCUACUUACUGUGUUUUUUAAAGGUUUUUGACCAUAAUGUACAUGGGAAACAACUGCUUUAUUAAACUUUGGUUUACACAUA